GUCGCCAUCUUGGACUCGGUUCGACCAGGUCUGGUGACCGGCGACGAGGGGCCGGGCUCGGCGCCGGGGGUCGGGGAAAGAAGAACUAGGUCUGGCAGUAGAUCAGAAUCUACCUGUUGGGGAAAACCAGAAAUAGGAAGAAGAGUUAUUAAUGGUUCAUUCUUGGCUGAGAAGAAUUCAGUAUGGAAUAAUUAAGAACUACUAUCAAUGCCUUUUACAAAAUGAGGUCAUUGGAUUGCAGAGUUGGCUUUCGAGAAGAUUUUGUGGCCUUUCUCAGCUGUCUAGGUGCUGUAGGUGCUGUGUUUCUAUGGCUGCAAGGAUGAAGAUUAUGAUAUGGAUGGAUGAUGGAAGGAAGGAUCUAUGAAUAUAAUAUUUGAGUUUCAGUUACUGGCCUUUACUUCUUCCAGAAAGUCAGGCCAAAAGAACAAAGUCCUAGAAGGUCUUCUGGUGAGUCACAUUCUGAGCAGCAAAACUGGCAUUGAGGCAUAAUUAACAUUCAGAUUGCCCCCAGUUUCUAUGGAGAUGAGUCUAGCCCCUCGGGGGAGUAGUGAUGGAUGUGUAAUCUCCAAGAUAAGUAACUGACAGGCUGUAUUCUAGGAACUCAAAAUGAAAGAAAAAUAGGAUAUGUUUCUUACUUUAGAGACCACAGAAACUAGUCUCCUAUAUUGGACCUUCUUGGUAAGAGCCCCAUCCCUUCAAAGGCCACAUGAAUCUGAAGGCCAAUAUUCAAGUCCUAUGCUGUUAUUAUCAACUUGGAUGCAGCGAGUCAUCUGACCUGACCUGUGGACACAGCCUCUGCAUCUGUUGAGAGGAUUAAAGAAGUCUAAUUCACAGUUACUGCAAGUAUAAUGGAGCUGAGAGGAUGGUGUGAGCAAUAGCACCAAUGUAAGAGUUAUCAUAGAUUAACACACUACUGGUUCUGAUGCAGCACAUAAGGCAAGUACCAUGGGAAUGCAGAGGAGAAAGAAAUUAGGGAGAUCAACAAGGUUUCACAAAGCAGCUAUGGUGAACUUGGCCUUGAGAGUAGGGUUUUCCUGGUGAAGAAAAACAUUCUAGGCAGAAGAAAUAGCAUACACAAAGACUCAGAGGCACCAAAGAGUCCUGUGUGUGUGGUGAAUAAUGAACAGAAAUUGCCAUAGAUUAGGUGGGAAGUCAUUGGUGUUAAUUUAUAGGUUUGAUAGAAGCCAAUUCUUGAAGGGUUUUGUAUGCCACAGUAAAGGACAGAGUUUUAUUUAAGGAGCCACUGAAAAGCUUCAUUCAUUCUACAAAUAACUUUUUCGGUGAGCCAGUAUGUGCCAAGCAUGGUUGUAAGUACUUGUAAUACAUCAGAAUAAUAAUAAAAAGAGUAUUCAUGUACCCACCACCCAAUUUAAAAACUAAGAAAUUGUCAAUCCUUAUGUAAGUCUCUGUGUUUCCCUUGUCAAUGGAAUCCUUCUCCUUGCUCCCCAAAAGUAACCCAAACGCUAAGUUUUGUGUUUGUCAUUUUCUUGUUUUUCAUUUCAGUUUUACUCAUAUGUGAGGAAAGGGGCUUAAGAAAUAUUUGCUCAAUU
rnacentral:lncRNA from 10 species